AUAUACAACUGUCAAGUUUACGUGUGUCUGUUCGGUAUAUACAACUGUCAAGUUUUAUCUCAACUGUCCCUGUUCGGUAUAUACAACUGUCAAGUUUUAUCUCAACUGUCCUUGUUCGGUAUAUACAACUGUCAACUUUUAUCCCAACUGUCCCUGUUCGGUAUAUACAACUGUCAAGUUUUAUCCUAACUGUCCCUGUUCGGUAUAUACAACUGUCAAGUUUUAUCCUAACUGUCCUUGUUCGGUAUAUACAACUGUCAAGUUUUAUCCCAACUGUCUCUGUUCGGUAUAUACAACUGUCAAGUUUUAUCCCAACUGUCCCUGUUCGGUAUAUACAACUGUCAAGUUUUAUCCCAACUGUCCCUGUUCGGUAUAUACAACUGUCAAGUUUUAUCCCAACUGUCCCUGUUCGCUGGAUGCUUUCUCCAAUCCUCGGCUAGCGAACGAGGUUGAGAAGAGUCGAGAGGAUCUUCGGAAAACUGAAACACAGCUAAGUAUGUUCUGGUGUGGUCGUGACGUUCAGCUUAGUAUGUUCUGGUGUGGUAGUGACGUUCAGCUUAGUAUGUUCUGGUUUGGUAGUGACGUUCAGCUUAGUAUGUUCUGGUGUGGUAGUGACGUUCAGCUUAGUAUGUUCUGGUUUGGUAGUGACGUUCAGCUUAGUAUGUUCUGGUUUGGUAGUGACGUUC
rnacentral:misc_RNA from 1 species